AUGAUUGCCUAUUCGUUUUCGCCUUUUCGGUAUCAAAAAUGCAAAACGCCAAAACCCAAUAGCCACUGUCUAUCUAUCCUGCCAUGUUAUUACUGUUGUAACUUGUACUUCUGUUUUCUUUGUAGACUAUAGUUACCAGUAAAUUACUUAUUGUUUUGUUAUUUCUUACUUGUUGUCAGUGUCCAGUGUUAAGAUUAACUGUUUGAUGGCCGUUGAAAAUAUUCUAUUAAUUAAUAAUAUUGUAUUGCCAUAAUUAGGUCGUAAUACGUGCCUGCGUUUGAAUUUAAUUCACAGUUUAUGAAGAUACGAUUAACUACUCGACAUGGCUCUUGAGAAAACAGAGUGCAGUUUCAUAUUGGAUUUUGUUGAGCUUGCCCAAUUGGCUGGCGUCAAAAUUUCACCACAUGUUGUGAGUGCAAUGUUAGAACUAUUAGACAUAGGGUAUUCUCCGUCAACCGUUAGAAAAGUGUGCCGUGAGAUUGCCAAGUAUAAAAGUCGACAUGAAAAAACUGGUACUACGAUGAAUAGUACCAGUUGAAAAUAAAACCAAUAUAGUUUGCUUAUUUUUUUUUUUAACAUUUAAUGACAA